rnacentral:lncRNA from 1 species
CGACAGUCGAAGCCAGUCAGCCCUAUCUUCUUCCGGCACGUGAAGCAGCGAUUCUUCUUCUGUUUCGGUUUCUCCGGAGAUGUUUUGUCCUCAGCUGCACUCUGUGAUGUUUCAAGGAGAGUACCUGAUGAGGAAGAUGCUGGGGUGGCCUCUUCUGUCUUGGCGAGCCCUUCUGUCUCACUGCUGCCUUCUUCUCUGGAUAUGCUCAUGGCUGUCAUCUGGUGGGUCACAGGAGUCUGAGCACUGGCUUUCGCAUCCUCCGCUGUGGAGUCCUCCUCUGCUCGCUGCCCAGCGAUGGAGUCUGAUGCCACAGGGCUGCUGCUGGGACUGCUGGCUGCUGGAGGGCUUAUCCGGUCACUGCUCUGCUGCCUCUGUAGAAAUUCCUUAUAGCAAACGGAGCACAUCCCGUUGGUGCGUGGGCUGCCAUAGAACCCGCAGCCAGUGGUACACAGCAGAGGCACCUGGGUUUGGUUCGUCUCCUGAGCCAUCCUUCCUCCUCCAAGGUGCCAAACACCAACGGAGCCUUCCGUCCGCCGCUCUGCUCAGCGAGCCGUGUGUGCUCAGGGCAGCCCGAGGAAGCAGCCCCACCGCCGAGCCUCUCCCCGCCCGUAGGCCACAGCUGCUCCGAGCUGCCCGUGUGUUGGCAGGCCGACGCUGGGCUGAGACCCCACCGGAGCAGACGGGCGGCCGCCGGGCCAGGCCGGGCCGGGCCGGGCCGGGCCGGGGGCGGCCGCCGGGAGGCUCAGGCGGGCGGCGGGCAGGGCG